UUGUAAUAUAGGCAUAUUAGCAUUGCGUGCUACUUUUAUUUUGUGGUUCAUUCACUGUGUUCUUGAUGUUCUUUCAGGCAUAAAGGGCUAUACCGCUUAGCAUCGGUCAUUCAUUGCUGCGUGCGUCUCAGCGUCUCACAGAGAGUGUGGAGUGUUUUCUCUAUGAGCAGUCUUGGAAUUAUUUACUGUCUUAUGCGUUACAGUGUGCCUCGGUGGCAGAACUUGGCCAAUGAGUUACAGAGGCCGGAAGACACAGAAAGGAACAAUAUCAAGACACCGGUAGCCAUUCACAAGACGUGAAGGAGCGUGAGGAUACAGUUGCGUCGGUUUCAUGCAAGAUGCCAACUAAUUAUACGGCGAGUAACAUGGAUGUUUUUUUUUCUUUUCUAGAUAACGUGGUGAUAUGGUGAUCACGAUCUGUAUGAACUGGAAUGAUCUGGAUAUGGCGCCUUGUCACGUGUUUUCAUUAUUUGUACUGCUUAUGUGCCAGCAGGCAUGUACGAAUGCACAUGUAAAUAAAGUCCACAUAGAAAUAAAGUAUUUUGGUUGCA